CUUGGACCUGCUAUUUUCUAGCUGUGUGAACUUGGCGACGGUGUUUGACUUUAUCGUGCUUCAAUUUCCUCAUCUAUAAAAUGGGGUUAAUAUCUACCUUGUAGGCUUGUUGUGAGGAUUAAAUGAGUCAACAUAAAUACAGUUUUUAAAACAAUGACUGGUGUAUUGUAAGCACCUAAUGAAUGUUAGCUACAAUGAAGAAAAUGACAAUACUUAUAAAGUACCUACCAGAGCUCCUAGUGAUAAUUAAUACUCAAAAAUAUUGGUAGCUGUCAAAUGUCAAGGAUGUCCACCAUCCAGACCCGUUGGAAUCACGGUCUAUUUACUCAUGAAAACAAAGAGGCUCCGAGAAGUCAAGAAAUGUGCCCAAGAUCGCCCAGCCAGAACAAAAACCCAGGUCUCAUGACUCAGACCAGAUUCUGUCCCCUGCACCAAGCUGAGGAGCUAGAGACUGAAGGCAGAGCACACUGAUCCAUGUCAAACAGCGGCUCGGCCUCCUCCCGCCCUUGUCUCCCCUUAGCUUUCAGGGAGUCCUCUCCCCAAGGAAAUGUCUUCUUGAUGCUACCGCUGCUUCUGUUUCAACUCGACUUCUGUCAGAGGGCCAGAGGAAAAAGCCAGAGCCCGAGCGAAAUAUGCCAAGUCAGGGAUGGUACCAUGCUGUCCCAGGGGGGAAAAGAGGCAGGACUGUCCUGCUCCCUCCUCCUACCUUCCCCUGGGAGACAGGGGGGUUCUCAGCUCCAUGCUAAUGCCUCCAGACAAAAUAGUUAGGGAUUUCCUUGCCAAGUGAUGAACCGAAAAAACAAACCCACACCAUACACAUACCCUACAUACCAGCCAUUCCUCGGAUGGUUGGCUUUGCAAGUGAUUGGCCACAGACUCCUCUGGCUCUCCAGGGGCAGAUGUCUAUCUGAGAGAGCAGGGAUGGAGACCGGGGGUGGAGGAAGUGGAGGAGGACCUGUGCUCCAGUUGCUGUCCCAGAGUUUAGAAACAGGACUGAGAUCUCUGCAAGUAUGUCUGUCACCAUUUUUCAUCCUCAUCAUGCAAGCCAUACACUGGAAUCCAGGCAUUACCAGCCUCACUUUUUAGAGGUAUGUUGCAGGUUGAGUCAUUCAAAUACUUACUGAAGACCUACUAUGAGUCUGGCACCAUGUUAGGCCCACAGGAGGACACUGAAGUCUUGAAAGUGGAAGAAAUGUGGUUUUCUUUGGCCACAUUUUCAAGGUUGCUUUUGUGUAGCUGUGAGGGAAAAGAGAAACAAAAUUUUGCUGAGCACCUAAUACGUGGCCAAAUGCUCUCUGGCCUUCUCCCUGAUAACUGCUGUCUGGGGUCAGUUACAGUGCGUUGGCAGCAAGUCCAACUCAGGCUGGCUUGAAGAUGGCAGGAAUGUAUUUGGCUAGGGUUUGGAAAGUCUGAAAGAAUUAGGGUUCAACAAGCUCAUCAACAAUGUCACCAAAGACACAGAUUCUUUGAUUGUCCUCCCUCUGCUGUCCUUGGGGUAGGCUCCAUCCUGAGGCUGGCUCUGCUUGUGGUCAGAAGAGUCUUCUUCACUCAUCGCUGAUGUGGACAGAAAGGUUGAUGCCUCCAGCAGAUGUUUCCUCCAAGCUCCUUGGCCAGACCAGGUUGUAUACCCACUCCAGAACCAUUCACUGGCGGGGAGAAUGGUGUCCUUGGAACAAUCAGUCUCGCCCUUGACUGGAGGUCAACUACCCCAAAACAUUGCUGCGUCUCCACAGGGAAGGUGUUGGGCAAUGAAGUGCAAUGCCCAGUAGAUGCCCCACAGGCCUGGGAGUGAAAUGACUUGCUCCAAGCCAUGUCUAUCUCAAGUCCAAAGCCCCUGUGUGUGGGGGGGCCCAAGAGCAGCCCUCCUCUGCUUCCCUGUCCCCUUUUCACUCCAUUGUGCUGCCUUACGAGGCAAGAAAAGGGCAGGAAGGAGGAAUGCGAAGCUGAGUUUCAGGUGCCCUUUGAAGCAAUGAAGUUGCAGAAGGAAAAGCUGGGAUUAUUAAAGACAUCUCCCCCUCCGCCUCUCCUUCUUCCAGAUGGCCUUCACAUUCCACUGGGAUGUGGGCCACUGGGCACCAUUUUACAGGGAUCAGCUCACAGCCUCUGAGGGCCUUUCAGUAUUUCAUUAAUAACCCCCUUCUGUCUGGAGCUCAUCUUCUGGCUUUUGUUGAACAAUGGAAAACAGGAAUGCCCUAUCUAUUAGCAUCUCACGGAACUACACUGCCCCCUGUGGCCAAAACCAGCCAGGAUGCAUAACAACAAGGACAACAAACUUGCCUACAAAGAGCCUUCCUUCCCAGGACCCAGGAAUAGCCCGUGAGCAGCAGAACUGCUUUGUCAGGAUCCAUCUACUCAGCAAAAAUGGGUCCCUCCAGGAUGCAAACCUGCAAGUGGGGCUGUCAGGUUGCUUCAUGGUACCCAAACAAAAUGCCCCAUCCAUGGGGUGAGCUGAUGGAGAGCUGGUGGGCGUGAAGAACCAGGCCCUGAGGCCUGAAGGAUUUGCUCAUCUCCUCUGCUUUCCUGUCCCCUCCCUCCUUUUGGAUGAAGUCCUGAUUCUGCAGAACACCAUGGGCCCUGCCGAGAGGCCUCUGCCUCUACUUGUCCCUCCAGUUUCAGGCCUCUUCGUGGUCCCCUGUCCACCGCCUCCUUCCUGCCUGCAUGCUCAGGCCCCAGACUAACCACUCCCAUUCUUCGAGAGCCUGCCCCUGCCCCCUCCUCCCUGAGAACCCAUCCCCGGCCGUCUCCCUCCGUGAUGCCCUGCGCCCUCCCAGCCUUUAGCCCAGCGGUGGGGCAACUUGCAUUGUCCUCACUUCCCUUGCCGGAGACUGCGUUCUCCAGGAAGGUCUGAGGUCUUGAAAGGGAAGGACUGUGCCUUUUAUUCUCUUUCCGUCUUCCCUCAAGCCCACGGAGUCCAGUCUGCCUCUCCCUUCCUGCUGCCCCGUGAACGCCCCUGCGACCUCAGGGUGAUGGGAACACAGGACAGAGGCCCUGGCUCAGGGCCCCUUCUUGCUCCAGGCUGCCCCAAGAUCCGGGCCACCACUAGAACAUGGCCAGCCUGCUGGGGAGACCGGAAAGCAUUUCUCCAGCAUUUGGUUCUGGGCUUCAUUGAAUCAAACUCUUCCUUCUAAAAAUAAGUCAUAGAGUCUCCUGAGGGAGAGGCCCAAGCAGGCAGGCAGCUCCUGAUGGAGCCGCCCGUGCUGGGGCCUGUCACCUGCUCCCAGGUGGCAGCCCCAGGGGCAGCUCUGCCCCCGCCCCCAGGUCAGCCCACAGCCCAGAGGGUGGGCGUGGGGGGCUCUCACCUGGGGAGUUCAGGCGGCAAACUGCUGCCAUCUUGUCCUGUUCAGGGCGGAGAAAGUGCAAACACACACAUGGUUAAGUUCUCCGAGGCAUUAGAGUCGCCCUUGAGCACUGGAGUUUCAGGCUCAGGGUAGAGCUGUGAUCUGAAAGAAAAAGACCCUAAACCAGGAUUUUGGAGAUGAUGGGUGAGAAUGAAGCCAAGACAGGUUCUCUGUCACCCACAUGUUAAAUAGCAAGCUCCUCGGCCGGGGUCUCGUUAGUGACCCUCAGGACCCCUCCCCCCACGCACACGUGGACUCAUCAUCCUCCCUCUUCCCAACUGCCCCCAGCCUGUCCCAGCCUCUGCCACACGCACACGCUGCUCCCUCUGUUCCGGGGUCCUUCUCCCCAUCUCUGCCUAAUGUCUAACCUAUCUGGCCAGGCUCAGACAGGUUCUCCAGAGACUGUUGGUUAAAACAUGAGCUUUGGUAACAAACUGGAGUGUGAGUCUCUGCUUUGCCACUCACUAGCUGGGUGACCUUAACGUAGUGGUUGGGAGAUCACAGUUCUGCUAGCUGCGUGGCCUUGGGCAAGUUACCUAACCUCUCUGUGCCUCAACAUUGUCAUCUAUAAAAUGAAGCUAAUAAAAGUGCCUAUGUGUUGUGCUUUC
ensembl:lncRNA